rnacentral:lncRNA from 1 species
CUGGUCCUGGCUUUUGAGAAAAGAGCCAGCAGCCUCUGGUCUUGUUGACACCAUCAUCUGAGAGUGGCAGGCCACCAGAGGGAAGGGCUAAGGACAGAGCCAGAUCUGGCUGGGCCAUCUCACCUUCUGGAGGCCGAACUUGACCCGGGAUGGAAAUAAUGAAGCAGCCACUGGCUUUCCCAAGGCCUGUGAUCCUCCUGGUCACCAGAAAUCCCAAGUUCUUAUCUCCUGCUCUUCCAGUCUCCUCUGUUAGGGUACUGGUUCCCAGCGCAGAGCUUCUGUGAUUACCAGAAGAACACUGAAGGAGUCUUCUUGUCUGUCUGGAGCCAGCUGAGAUGGCCCUGAGAUCCACAGAGCCUCCUCCACGCCCCUG